CCUACGGGGGGCAGCAGUGGGGAAUAUUGCACAAUGGUGGUAACCCUGAUGCAGCGACGCCGCGUGAGUGAAGAAGUAAUUCGUUACGUAAAGCUCUAUCAGCAGGGAAGAAAAUGACGGUACCUGAGUAAUAAGCCCCGGCUAACUACGUUCCAGCAGCCGCGGUAAUACGUAGGGGGCAAGCGUUAUCCGGAUUUACUGGGUGUAAAGGGAGCGUAGACGGUUCGCCAAGUCUGGAGUGAAAUGCCUCAGCUUAACUGCGGAACUGCUGUGGAAACUGGCGAACUAGAGUGCGGGAGGGGUAAGCGGAAUUCGUAGUGUAGCGGUGAAAUGCGUAGAUAUUAGGAGGAACACCGGUGGCGAAGGCGGCUUACUGGACCGUAACUGACGUUGAGGCUCGAAGGCGUGGGGAGCGAACAGGAUUAGAUACCCGAGUAGUC
rnacentral:rRNA from 1 species